rnacentral:lncRNA from 1 species
CUAACCGUAACAACAUUAACAACACUACGCAACGCAGCAACCCAACUGAAACAAAACAACAUACAAAUGCCAUAUAAUGCCAACAACGAUAAUUCCCAAACAACGGAUUCAAUAACAUCAACUUCAACAGCGUACAAACCUUCUGCCAAACCAACCAACAAAAAGUUCUUGAGAAUUCUAGUCCCACAUCGGCUGGAAAUACCCCAUUCCUAGAUUUGAAACUCUAUACAAAGGGCUUCUCGUUCUUCAUUUUGGGGGUGGUUUUUUGAAAUCAAAAAGGGACUAAAAAUUUUCUUGUUGUUCUCGAGUCAAAAGAGGGAGAGACUUGAGGAAAAGCUGGAGGAUUCUAGAGGUGUGCACCUCUAACCCUACGUAACCAAGUCAUCUUCAAAAUAGUUCAAAAAAGAAUUCAUCAAAAUCGUUUGAAUUCAUCAAAAUCGUUUGAAUUCGCAAAUUGAAACUUUGGUGGAAGUCAUCUUCAAAAUAGUUCAAAAAAGAAUUCAUCAAAAUCGUUUGAAUUCGCAAAUUGAAACUUUGGUGGAAGUCGUUCCGACGAAAGUUCGUAGUCCUGUUUGCUGUCCGUCAUAAGGUGAACACUUUUCCCUUUAAAUUUUCUUUUUUUCGUUGUAAUUAUUUCUUCAUUAGCGUCGUAGCGAUGAUGUUGCUGGGAUUAUGUGCUGUAGAAGCCUUGAAGUCCUUAGGAUUUUUGUGUGAUGACAAUUGUGUUUGUUGUUUGUUACAUUGAAUUAACGUUUUGUCUCACUGUUUUGGCUUUAUUUGUGAGAAUCCAUGGCUUUAUUUUGACGUUGCUUAAUAGAGUAUUGUUGUUCCUGUUACAAUUUGAUCAUUCUUUUCCUUAUUUUUGUUUGAUCAAAUGUUCAUCUUUUACCAUAAAACCUUUUAAGUGAACAUAUGCAGUGGAUUGGAUUUUGAAUAAGUUCAAAAGUUGGUCUUUUAAAAAGAAAAAUUCCUUCUUCCCCGGGAGUUUCUUUUCUAGAUAAAAUUAUGUUAGUGAUUGCAAGCUAAAACUCUCCCCUUUAUUUUCAUUAGUUUGAACUAAAGAUCAAUCUUAAUCUUGGAGUUUGCAUAUUUGGUCAUUAAGUUGUGUCAAAUUUAGUUGUUUGGUGAAGGUUUAACAUAAACAAAUUUUGCCCUUUACUAUGUGUGAACUUUGAUUGAUUUACCGGGGUGUUAUUUUUGUUUUAAGAAUCCAAUGUUAUUAAGGUCGGCAAAAUCCAAGAUAAAUGCAUAAGUUGUUAAUGUUACAUAAUACAUGAAUUAUGUUAUGGCUAUAAGUUAUUUAUGGUUUCUCUCGUGGAAAGCUUGGACUUAAUAGUUUAAUUUUCACCAAUAUUUAUUUCUUCAAGCUUCAACCAUUUUUAAAGCUAUUUUGGUUAAUUGAUUUAUCCAUAUCAUGUGAAUUACUUAGCAAACGUUGACCACCUUUUUAUGGUAUGUUUUUCUUCAUUUAUCACAUCAUUGAGUAAAUGGUUAUAUAUAUUUCUCCCCUUUUUAAGUUAUGCAUUAAGAGCACUUGAAUAGAUACUAAUUUUUAUUUUUCUCUCUUGUUUAUGUGAUUCUUAGCGAGUCCAACUGGACCCCAUCGCCCCUGCAUUUCUUCGGGACCAAAACCAUCCUCACUCGAGUUAAAAAUCUCCAUCAAAAUCUAUCCAAGGGCUGCUAUACAUUCGUAUACAACAGAUAUACACCGAAAUAGUUUCAGCUGUACACUAUCAUACAUGUACAUGAAAAAAUGGUGUCAAACGUGCUGAUUUCUACAUUGAUAUACGGCGAACACGCGAUGGUAUACCCAAAAACUGCAGAAAAAAUGGACUGAUAUACACAUAGUAUUACACAGCUGAAAGAGGGUUGAAAAAAAAGGGCCAUUAAAAUAGGCCCAAAAAUAAUGCUGUCCAGAUUUGAAAAUGGGCUAAUUAAGGGCCCAAUUUUAAUUCUUGUGUUCUUUUUUGUAGCUUAUAUUGUUUAUCUAAAAAUUAUACAAAUACACAACUUAUGUUUUCAAUAUUACAAAAAAUCCCAACUCCGUAAACAUAUUAUAAAAAUCCCAACAUAUACACAGAAUGCUAUGUAUAUGUCGGCUAUGUUAUGCUUAUUAAUAGGGAUAGAGAGUAAAGUAAUUAAAAAAGUGGAAGAGAGUGUAAUUACUUCCAAAAGGGUUGGUAUUUAUGUUAUUUAUACGUUGUUUAUUUGUAUUAACUAAUACUUUAACUCAAUUAAUU